AGCGAUUGAGUAAGAUGGAGAGAGCUCAAAGACGAUGAAUAGUUUCUGUUCCCAUUUUUUUCUUUUUAUUUGUUAAGAAAAUAAACAUUGAAACCUUUAAAACUUUUACGUUUAAUCUUCCCAUGCUUAGUUAAUGGUGUUUUUAGUUAAUACUGUACAUUAACAUAUCAUUUUUGGUAUUCCCAAUCCAUUAACCUCUAGAACCCAACAGUCAAGCGGCUGGUUUUUUUUUGGGUAAUCCAACAGAUAUUUUUUUUAUUAUUAUUUUAGUUUUUAUUUUUUUUAUUUUUUUGUUCCAAUCUUUUCUGACUUAUAUACCCAAGUUAUUAUUGUAAAUAAUAACUAACCAUGAGUAGCCUAGUGGAGAGAGGGUGGUUUCAUGAUCUUUAGUGGAGCGGGUUCGAUAC
rnacentral:lncRNA from 1 species